CCGUGCCGGGCGGCUGGGCGCCGCUCCGGCCGAACGCGCUGCGGCCGAGCUGGCCCGGGUUCGGCGGGAGGCUCGGUGCGCCCGGCGCGGU
rnacentral:tRNA from 1 species